rnacentral:tRNA from 1 species
GUUCAGGUAGCUUAAGUUUAAAGCUCUACAUUGAAGCUGUGGAGAUAAUGAAUUACAUUUCUGGGCA